AGAGUCAAGACAUCAACACAUGAAUCAGACAGGAUGAGAGGAGGAUAAGGCUAAAGACAGAGGCUCCAGCUACCUUGGUGACAAGGAAUGGAGGAGAAAAGGAACAGGAAAUUUUAAUAAGAUUAGGAGGGCUUGCUUUUCUGCCAAGUGAGCCGCUUUCACAGGAGCGAUAAAUUGGAAAUGUUAUCUGGCUUGAUAUGCCAGUUUUUCUGAGAAAAUCACUCUGCCAGUGGUGACAGAAUGGAAGAGCUGAAAACAUCUUCUUUUUUCAAAGUCAUAUGUCACGAACCAAGGAGACUCCAAAAAAUAAAUUAUGGAAGAUUAUGACCACUGCUGCCAAGGAUACAGUGAAAUAGGUACAUCUUGUAUGCCCAGUAAUGUUGAAAAUUAAUAUAACCUUAUUUAAAAAGCAAUUUGGAGAUGUUGAAAGAAAGCCUGAAGAUUACCACCAUGCUUCAUGAUUCUAUCCAGGUGUCCCACAUAUGAGAGCCAAUUCC
rnacentral:lncRNA from 10 species